GUUUGGUUAAGUUAGAAAGGGCGCACGGUGGAUGCCUUGACACUAGGAGUCGAUGAAGGACGGGACUAACGCCGAUAUGCUUCGGGGAGCUGUAAGUAAGCUUUGAUCCGAAGAUUUCCGAAUGGGGAAACCCACCAUACGUAAUGGUAUGGUAUCCUUAUCUGAAUACAUAGGGUAAGGAAGACAGACCCAGGGAACUGAAACAUCUAAGUACCUGGAGGAAGAGAAAGCAAAUGCGAUUUCCUGAGUAGCGGCGAGCGAAACGGAACAUAGCCCAAACCAAGAGGCUUGCCUCUUGGGGUUGUAGGACAUUCUAUACGGAGUUACAAAGGAACGAGGUAGACGAAGCGACCUGGAAAGGUCCGUCGUAGAGGGUAACAACCCCGUAGUCGAAACUUCGUUCUCUCUUGAAUGUAUCCUGAGUACGGCGGAACACGUGAAAUUCCGUCGGAAUCUGGGAGGACCAUCUCCCAAGGCUAAAUACUCCCUAGUGAUCGAUAGUGAACCAGUACCGUGAGGGAAAGGUGAAAAGCACCCCGGAAGGGGAGUGAAAGAGAUCCUGAAACCGUGUGCCUACAAA
rnacentral:rRNA from 1 species